CAUCACAUCUCAGACUGGGAUUUAUACCAUCGGCUCCCCUGGUUCUCAGGCCUUAAGACUCAAACUGAAUUACAACACCGUCUUUCCUAGGUCUCCAGCUUGCAGAUGGCAGAUCCUGGGACUUCUCAGCUUCCAUAAUCACGAUAUAAUCCCAGGAGGGGAAUCACUGGGUCAAACGACAUGAGUACUUUAUGACUCUUGACACGUGUUGCCAAAUUGGAUUCCCAAAGGACUAAUUUCCAUCGCCACCAGCAACAUCCUGAAAUUGAAAUGCCUGGUUUCAAACCCACAUUCUACCUCUUAACUAGCUGUGUGACCUCAAGCAAGUUACUUAACCUCUCUGUGCCUCAUCAGCAAAAUGGGGAUAAUAAUAGUGCCUACCUCAUAGGAUUGUUGUGAGGAUUAAAUGUUAAAAUGCAAGGCACUUGGGACUUCCCUGGUGGCACAGUGGUUAAGAAUCCGCCUGCCAAUGCAGGGGACACGGGUUUGAGCCCUGGUCCGGGAAGAUCUCACAUGCCGCGGAGCAACUAAGCCCGUGCAUCACAACUACUAAGCCCAUGCGCCACAACUACUGAGCCUGCGCUCUAGAGUCCGCGAGCCACACCUACUGAGCCUGAGUGCCACAACGACUGAAGCCUGCGCGCCUAGAGCCCGUGCUCCGCAACAAGAGAAGCCACCGCAAUGAGAAGCCCACACACCACAACGAAGAGUAGCCCCUGCUCGCCGCAACUAG